UACGUAGGGGGCAAGCGUUGUCCGGAAUUAUUGGGCGUAAAGAGCGUGUAGGCGGUCCGGUAAGUCGGAUGUGAAAGCCCCGGGCUCAACCCGGGAAGUGCACUCGAUACUGCGUAGCUUGAGUCUCGGAGAGGUUGGUGGAAUUCUCGGGUGUAGAGGUGAAAUUCGUAGAUAUCGAGAGGAACACCGGUGGCGAAGGCGGCCAACUGGACGAAGACUGACGCUGAGACACGAAAGCGUGGGGAGCAAACAGG
rnacentral:rRNA from 1 species